UUACAUUUUCAGUUUUAAAAGAACACUUCUUCCCCAUUCCCCAGCUCAGGCCUAUGACAAGGGAGAAUCCAGCAGUUGAUGAAGGAGAGAAAGCUGCUCCUUUUUCCCCACUGAUGGCUUCUCCUCCUCUCCCCAUCUUGCUAGCCACUAAGGUUGGAAGAGGAAGAGGAGAGAUGGGAAGGGAAGCAGGGAUGUUCUUCCUUGCCAGGUACCCGGAUAACUUAGUAUCUGAGUUUUCUAGGCUCGGCAUGUAUUUACAGCUGACUGGUUAUAUAUGAUUUUCUUUUUCUUGGGGGUGGGGGCAGGUGGGUGGGUAAAUUGUUAGAGACACCCCCACUCUCUAUCACAGGGCAUCUUUCCUAUGUAAUUCUCUCCAGGGGGGAGAAUGAAUCUCUAGGUUCUAGUUGGUGGCUUACCCCACAUUCAUCCAUUGAAGGUACCUCUAUCUUCUUUCCUACUGAGUGUUUGUUCUUCCAGGGACCUCUUAAACUCGACCUAAGUCAGCACCCAUGAGACUUCUCAAUGCAGGCGGUCUUUUGGACUCCACCAUCAGAACACCCAACCUGUCUCCCUGACUUAGCUGUGAGUGAGAAACUAGACCAUAAUGUCCCCAUAAGCAACAGUCUCCACACAUUAGACUCUUGAAGUGGUAUGGUUGAGAUCCUUUCCCAACUAUGCUUGAAAAGCACAGGCCUCUCCUACCCUGCCUCUAUGGUGGUAGGGGUGGAUUCAUUCAUAGCACACCAACAUUUUUCUUUAAAAAUACUUUCCAACCGAUUUCCAAUGUAUAUACUCUUAUCAAAGGUGAAAUACUUAAGAAUUGUAAAACUGAUUUCCCCCCACCUCAUCCUAUCCCACACAGAUUCAUAUUAAAUAUAUAUAAUACACAUGCAUAUAUAUGUAUAUAUAUUUAAAUCCUGUAUGGUGUUCUGGCAUUCAUUUUGGACUGUGAUAUUUUCACUAUCUUCAGUCUUAGGCAAAACUUCCACGUUAAUAUCUGAUACUGAUGUUCAUAAGAAUGUUCUAGUUCUGCCCUAAGACUUCAGAGAAUGCACAUAUAUGUCAGGUAUUUGAUCUGUAAAAAUUAUAGAUCCUCAGUAUAACCGAAAAGUAAUACAAAUGUGAGUGCUGGUCAAUUCAAAAUGUAAAAGAAAUUAAAAGAAAAGUAAUGCCUACUAACUACCAUGGUUCUGCUAUUGUCAUAUUAAGCAAGACGGUAUCAAAGAAAAUAUGCUGAGAACAUAUGAACUGCAGAAAUUAUAUACUUUUAUCAAAUAGCCAUGGUUUUCAUGCCUGUUCAUUUUCUUAACACUGUAUUUCCUGCUUCUUCAGAGACUACCUAGUCAAUUACAUGGUCUUCCUUUCACACUUACAUCAAGGCCAGGAGUAAACUGCUCUAAGCACAAUGCAACAGCCUGUUUCUUUUGAAGCAAAUAAAAUGGGACCAUGGUUUUUAAUCUUUUUUUUUUUUUAAUUUUGCCAGAAAAGUGACAGGAUAAGAAUUAGGCUAAAGAGAGAAGCAUGAAGAAAUCUUUUCUUCCAGAAGGCUGAACAGCACUACAUUAACAAUACACUUCCUGAUGGCUGAAUCAAGUCUGAGAUUAUACCUCUCCCUCUGUUCCCAUCUCUCUAUGGCUAUUGAACUAUGGAAGCACUCCAUUUACAGGCAGAGAACUCUGCAUUUGAGCUGGGCAGACGAAGAAACUAAACUGAGAACAGCCAAAUUACUUGCUCCUGUUUAAACAGCUAUUUUGCAGCAGAGCAGAGAAUCAGCGCAACUACCAUUUAUGGAAGGCCAACUGCAGACCAGAGAUGCUGUUCUACAGUGUCAGAAAAGCAUUUUAAGGUAAAGGUAACCUUCUGGUUUCAGUUGCCCAUUUGGAUCAACCAUCAGACCUAGUCUGAUGAGACUAGGCAGAAAAGGCAGAAAACAGAAUGUAGGAAAGAAUGAGCCAGGAUCUUGUGGACCAAGCCGAAGCCUGAAUCUUCCUCGCCAGAAAAACCCCAGCAACCAAUUACCCUGGACGUGACGCCAAGGCCCACCUAGUGGUCAGCCAUCUGCCUAGGCAGACAAUAAAGCUCAAUUUUUCUCCUUCUCCA